GCAAUUGUGUUUGAUUGUUACAUUUUUACCAUUUUGAACUAAACCAGGACUAGCAUUACUAACUUUCCAUUGAAAUAAUCCAGCAGCAUCUUCUGUUGCAGAUGUUAAAAACAAAUGAUGUUUCCUUACUAUUUGCCUCUCUAUUUUGUUUACAUUUUCAUUGAUAUAUUAAAUAUUCCUAUUACAUAAAAAACAAUGUAAAUAAAUCAAUUAUCUAGAUAGAAAUUAACAUAACGUCCUGAUUCUAUAGUGAAUUUAAUUGUCGGACUAAGAUUUGGAAAAAUCCAUGUUCCUUUCCUUAAAUUAAUUUCAUAUUUUUUCUUAAAAACCAGUAUUGUAUUUUUAACCUCAGGUGUUAUACGCUCAUAGCCGUUUGUAUGAUCACUCCUCCAGUUAAAGAAAAAUAAUUCUCUACCAAGGUAUCAAACGAUAAAGUUAACUCCAAUUAUGUAAUUCCCAUCUUGUUGGACUUACAUCAUCAUAUCGAGGUAUUAGAGCCAGAAAGUCCUAUGCAUGCAAAUUUUCGAUUUUAGCUUUUUUAUAUUUUCUGACAUAUCACUUUAAGCUGCACAUUUUCUUAAAAUCUGGACCAUUCUAUUUCAUUUCUAUCAAUAGUUAUUCAAUAAAGAUCAAAUCAGUUAUGAUUUUAAAGUCACAGAAGAAGCCUUCCAGAAACAUCUAUUUCUAUAUAACAUGUUAUGUAUUUCAAUAACACACACAUUUAUGGAGUCAUAUCACUCUAUUGCAUGAUAGGUGGAUUUGGCCGACAAUAUAGUUUUGAAUUUACAAAAAUACAAGACUGCCAAAAGCUGCUAAGUAGUGAUAGCUAGUUCUGGAAGAAGAAAUGUUGAAAAAUUUAACAAAAUAUCAUCAGACCAGAAAGCCUCAUCCGCAAAUAGGGCUUAAAAUUUUGAUCAGACUACUUUUUUCUAUUAGCCUAUUAACUCUAUUGUUUAACAGGGCUUUCUGGCUAUUGAGUUUACUUUCAGAUCUUAUUACAUUCCGAUAUAAAGAAACGGGUAUGCAAAUAUAGGGCAAUUUGGACUUGUCAAGAUAAGCCAUUGUUUCCAUUAUUUUAUGCUGAUUAUAUUCUAUCCAUUUCAAGGGUGAAGGUUUUCCACAUAUAUUUUUCUGGAAUGCACAUUUCCAACUAAGCGUUUGGAGUCAUUAUAAUGUUGACGAAGUGAAACAUUUUCUGUCCUUAUUCGAAGCAAUAUGUGCAUAUCUUAAAGAUGUCAGACGACUGGAGUGGUUCGUCAGAGGGUAAAACAGACCGUAUACCUCAAUAUACUAUGGAGCAAAAUUCGGAUGUGACUGAUAAAUCAAUUAGAUUAGAAGGUUGACACAAGAGUUGUUUACUGGAAUCAGAAAACGGGACGACUAUUUAUUUUCA
rnacentral:lncRNA from 1 species